GGAGAGAUGGCCGAGUGGUUUAAGGCGUAGCAUUGGAAUUGCUAUGUAGGCUUUUGUUUACCGAGGGUUCGAAUCCCUCUUUCCG
rnacentral:tRNA from 1 species